rnacentral:rRNA from 1 species
UACAGGUGAUCGAAACCGAGGAUGAAACGAAACCUUCUUGUACGAUCUCUACAACGAGACCCCUACCUACUUUGGGGAUAUCCCCUUACCUUUUCUCACCGCACGCGCUAACCCGGACAACACGCAGGAGUGUUUUUUUUUAGAGCGGCCAGGUGUGCGAGAGGGGGCCUUUGCGAAGAAGAGCAGAAGGGGUCAAGACGGCGGCGGCGGCGGAUGGAGACGGGGUUGGAACGGUGGAGGAGACGGGCAGAUGGCAGGAAGGCAGUGUGGGGCUCCGGGAGUAGUGGAGAAGGGUGGGCGAGUAGACGAAACACGGCAGCCGGAGGGAGAGCAGGCGAUUGGCCGGUAGCGCUGCCCCUCGAUCUAGACGCGGCUGUGCGGAGUAGUAGCGGAAGCAGAAGACGACACACGGAUGUGUAGCCGAUAUCCCUGUUCCUGGAGCGGCCGAGCGCGUAUUAUCCAGUUGCCGUUCGUCACCUCCACGUCGUCGCCAGCUGCUACCACCUGGUCUAGUCGCGCAGUACCCCCACCUGAGGUUCCGGCAGUGCACGUCUCUUCUCUCUCCGGCCGUGCCGCCGGCCCGCGCCAGACCUCUUGGCCACCGGCCAUCACGCGCUAUACCCGCACGCGCUGGACGCACUCAACCUCCGCUCCCAGUAUAUACCUCCUGACCUAAACUUACCUUUCUUAACCUUCCUCAAAAAAAAAGGCCUACAAGGACUCCGUGAUUUCUUGAACGUAAGAGUGGCUUACUUCCUCUAGUUCUUCAACUAUCAACUCGACCUGAUGAACUCCUUCGCCGAAGUCCUCGAGUUUGGGUUGUUGUUGACACCGAAGCCUUUUCUAACAAAGGACUUCUUGAACGGAAACCUUAAUUUCUUCUAACGAAACUGUGACUGGUCUCUGUAUGCUUCCUUAGAAGAAAGACAUUCGAGCACCAAAGAAGUUCCUGAACUUGCAAUGGUCUCGAAGGUCGGAAGGUCGGAAUUACUCCCGGUGUUCCGAUCCUGCCAAACGGUCUCGUUGUAUAGGGGAGGGACGAUGUUUCCUAACUAAGAAAAUUGGUCCAAACCUUAACUUCGUCCCGUCGCGCAGGCCGAUGGGAUGCUCUUCUUCACGCACGUCGACUCCUGGGUCCUACGGUUGCUACACCUCGGCAAGUGGUAACUCCCCUGGUCCCGACGGUAGUCCCUGGAGGUCUGGUUCCAGUUGUAGAGACGGCAGAAGUAGCUGCCGCACAGGGCUUCACAGUAACGGCAGGCAUUACUGAGUAGAUUUAUAAGAGUUCUUAACUUAGGCGGCAGCCGCCCCGUGGGUGGCAGGCGGGUGGGGCGUAGCGGCGGCGGUCUCCCGGCCGGCCGCUUCGGCGCGACCCGGAACCCUACCGCCCCGGCAAAGAGGAAGGAGCUCGGGGUUAGGGGGCGGGAGACGGUGGACGGAUCUAGACCAAACCGCCGAGGCCGUUUGAGGUGGCCGCUGACGUCGCCGGAGGGGGCCGAAGGGGACGAGCGACCGCCACGCCUACCGAACGGCGCCGGCGCCGAGGGCAAGCGGGGUCUGCGCUAAACCCACGAGGAGGGUCGUCCACUGCCACGAAAAGCCGGUCGGCUGGUACCGCCGGCCCGCACGGGAUGAACGACGCCGAUGGGGGAGGGGGCUGGGUGGGGAAGGGGAUGAGCUCGAAGCCUGGCCGGAGAAACCCUCCGCCGGUACCUCGGCCGAACAGGACGGCUGUCACGGACAAAGAACGUCGAGCGGCUAGUCCUCACACCGACGCGCGCUCUAGGGAAGUUGUGGUGGCGGUGGGUGGUGGUGGGGCGUCCCCGCCGAAGACGGGCCGCCGGUACCUGGACGCAGGGAAAGGACACAAGUACCAACCGGCCGCGCGGGAGUCUGGGUCGUUCGGGAUCCUCGACGCGAUAAAGGCCGAGUAAACCGAGUGAUCGAGGAGCCACAGAGGCGAGGUGGUGGUGGGAUGGCCAAUGAACCAACCGGCAGGUAGGGCCACGUAGAAGCAGAGGCUGUAACGAGGUCCUCGACGCAGGGGAAGGUCGAGGAUCCAGGCGGCCGCGGGACGACGAGACCAAGACCCACCGGGUCCAGACGCGAGGGAAGGUCUAGGACAGAGCAGGCCCCUAUACCGAUGACAGGGUAUGGGCGGCGGAGAGUAAAGCGUAUCGGUGCGUUGAAACGGGAGGAAGCCUCAAGCGUGCAGGUCGCCGCGGGCUACGGAGGAUGCCGCAACACGCACCGAGUGGAAGGACAUCAGCGUUGAGGUCGUUUACGCGCUGCUGGAGGAGAGACUAAGCACAAGGCUGCAGAACCCUAACGAGCCUUAACCGGUCCCUCUUUAGUGACGUAGAAUACGACCAUCGCCGCCGUGGGCACCCACAGCAUGGGAAGAACCUCCGCGACGGUACCAGCAAAAAGACACGGGGAGAAGCUCGUAGUCUCCUUUGGGAUCCAAUC